AUCCUACGGGAGGCAGCAGUGGGGAAUAUUGGGCAAUGGGCGCAAGCCUGACCCAGCAACGCCGCGUGAAGGAAGAAGGCCCUCGGGUUGUAAACUUCUUUUAUCAAGGACGAAACAAAUGACGGUACUUGAUGAAUAAGCCACGGCUAACUACGUGCCAGCAGCUGCGGUAAUACGUAGGUGGCAAGCGUUAUCCGGAUUUACUGGGUGUAAAGGGCGUGUAGCCGGGCCGGCAAGUCAGAUGUGAAAUCGCAAGGCUCAACCUUGGAACUGCAUUUGAAACUGUUGGUCUUGAGUAUCGGAGG
rnacentral:rRNA from 1 species